rnacentral:rRNA from 1 species
UACAGAGGUGCCGAGCGUUAGGCGGAAUCACUGGGCUUAAAGCGCGUGUAGGCGGGUCGUUAAGUGUCCGCGGGAAAUCCCACGGCUCAACCGUGGAACUGCCGGGCAUACUGGCGACCUUGAGGCACUUAGGGGCGAGCGGAACAAAUGGUGGAGCGGUGAAAUGCGUAGAUAUCUGGAGGAACACCGGUGGCGAAGGCGGCAUCCUGGACCGGCAUUGACGCUGAGGAGCGAAAGCCAGGGGAGCAAACGGG